ensembl:snoRNA
CAGCCCCAUGAUAUCCAGACUGGGCUUCUGUCUCCCAUGCGGAUAUGGUGCCCCGCCCUGGGGACUUUUGACAUCCCAGGUUCUGAGGGGCCU